rnacentral:rRNA from 1 species
GCAAGCAGCUAUACCACUGGGAGUUCAGACUAGGUAACCCAUGUGUAGCUCAGCAGGUUUGGCCAGUGCUUGGAUGGGAGACCUAGGAAACUAGGAAAGCUGGUUUGCU